GCUGCUAAUACCCGAUAUGCCAAAGGUGAAAAGUUUUUUCCCCCGGAAAAGAUCUCGCGUCCUAUUAUCUUUUUGGUGGGGUAAAACCGUACCAGGGCCACUAUGGGUCUCUGGUCUGAGAAGAAGAGCCCCCACACUGGAACUGACACACGGUCCACACUCCUACGGGAGGCAGCUGUGGGGAUUUUUCCGCAGGGGGCAAACCCCUGACGGAACAACCCCGCGGGGGGGAAAAAGGUUUUUGGAUUGUAAACCCCUUUUCUCAGGGAAAAAAAAAAUGACGGUACUUGAAGAAUCCCCCUCGGCUAACUCCGUGCCAGCCCCGCGGUAUACAGAGGAGGCAAGCGUUAUCCGGAAUUAUUGGGCGUAAAGUGUUCGUAGGCGGCUGUUCAAGUCUGCUGUCAAAGACCGAGGCUCCCCCUCGGGUCGGCGGUGGAAACUGGAUAGCUGUAGGUCGGUGGGGGAAGAAGGACCUCCCGUUGUAGCGAUAAAAUGCGAAAAUGUUGAGAAAAACACCGGUGGAAAAACCGCUCUGCUGGGCCAAUCCUGACGCUGAAGGACAACUGCUGGGGGAGCGAAGGGGAUAACCCCCCCAAAUUAAAAAAAAA
rnacentral:rRNA from 1 species